rnacentral:rRNA from 1 species
AUGCCGUCGCACUCGGAUCUGGACCGGCAGAUCUCGCAGCUGCGGGACUGCAAGUUCCUGCCGGACGCCGAGGUCAAGGCGCUCUGCGAGCAGGCCAAGGCGAUCCUCAUGGAGGAGUGGAACGUGCAGCCCGUGCGCUGCCCCGUCACCGUCUGCGGCGACAUCCACGGCCAGUUCUACGACCUCAUCGAGCUCUUCCGCAUCGGGGGCGACACCCCCGACACCAACUACCUUUUCAUGGGCGACUACGUCGACCGUGGCUACUAUUCAGUGGAGACUGUUUCAUUAUUAGUGGCUCUCAAAGUUCGUAGAGACAGAAUCACAAUAUUGAGAGGAAAUCACGAGAGCCGACAAAUCACUCAAGUGUAUGGCUUCUAUGAUGAAUGCUUACGAAAGUACGGAAAUGCAAAUGUCUGGAAGUACUUCACAGAUUUGUUUGAUUAUUUGCCUCUCACAGCUCUUAUAGAAAACCAGGUGUUUUGCCUCCAUGGUGGUCUCUCUCCAUCAUUAGAUACAUUGGACAAUAUUCGUUCUCUUGAUCGCAUACAAGAGGUCCCGCAUGAAGGACCUAUGUGUGAUCUUUUGUGGUCUGAUCCUGAUGACCGAUGCGGGUGGGGAAUUUCACCAAGAGGAGCAGGCUACACAUUUGGACAAGAUAUAGCACAACAAUUUAACCAUACAAAUGGUCUUAGCCUUAUUUCAAGGGCCCAUCAACUUGUGAUGGAAGGGUUCAAUUGGGCACAGGAGAAGAAUGUUGUCACAGUUUUCAGUGCGCCAAACUACUGUUACCGGUGUGGUAACAUGGCUGCGAUUCUCGAAAUUGGGGAGAGCAUGGAUCAGAACUUCCUCCAAUUCGAUCCAGCGCCGCGGCAAAUCGAGCCAGACACAACGCGCAAGACCCCCGACUACUUUUUGUAA